UCGCGAUAUAACAUUUGUCGACUGGAUGGAUUGUACAGCUACAACGUUAAGUUAACAACUUAAAUACAUUUGAAAACAGUUCAUAAACGAACGGAAUGACUUUAAUAAAUAGACGUUUUGAGCUCUGACGAAGGUUGGAUUUAAUUCAGCUUCGGAAUUCUGAUGUUAAGCCGGUGACGACAAACCGUUUUUGACAGGAUGCGGUCGAUUUCCUGCUUGAAAUGGCAGUUUAAGAGACAAAAUGUGCACGAUAAACUCCACAAGAAAACCUGUGUUAACAAUGAAACAAUUCAUGGGAUAUUGUUUUUAUUUUUCAUUCUAGGAUCUUUUGGUAUGUUAUCCGAGCGCCCGAAAGCAAAUACAUGUACUAGAAGAAAGAAAAUGGCUCAAGUUUUGAUUGGUCGAAUACUUUACUGGUGGGA